UAGAUCAAACAUAAGCCAUCGGAAACAUACCCCAACAAAUUACGGAUAAGUUCGAGUUUGACAAUCGGAACACGGACAAACCAAGCUCGGUCAUUGCACAACUACCGCACAUGCACGCUGUCCGGUCGCUACGUAGCGACCGAGCUCGAGCUAAAGCCCGGUCUCUACAUAGCGACCGAGCGUCCGUCCAGCUCGGUCACUACGGAGCGACCGUUCUCUUCCGAAACGUCGAUACGACACUACUCCGUGCAUUCUUGUCUAUCCUUCGAUGCUAUCUCCCGAAGACUGUAGCGAACUCAGUUCAUAUUUUCCGCCAUUCUAAAUCAUCGAUCAUGGCGGUUAAAACCGCGGAAAGUUCAUUCUUUAUCGAAAGAAGUCACAGUAAACGCUUCGAAUCAGAAGACGGGCCAAAGGGACCUAAGACACGACUCGAGGCCCAUCCUACGAUUUCUUAACCAAAAGCCCGUAAACCGAAGCACGGUUUAUGCUUGGCGCGCAAGGAAGGAUAAAUUUCAAGUUUCCGCGGAUAAAUAUGAAAUUUUGAGGAUAAAUACGAAGAUCGGAAAUAAUGGAAUAUCUCCAUUUUGUGCUAUGAUGGCUUAAGGGCAGAAGAGUAAAAGCGUAAACCGACCUUGGAGCGAGUAUAUAAGGAAUCCUAGGCGAGAGGCAUAAAAGGGAGAACUUUUCAGAGCAAACUUAGCACAUAGAGCAAUUUAGGCAUAUUUCCAUUUUUGUUAUUCGAGCUGCGACUCAAUUAGGUUAUUGCCGUCUUAAUGUUUUAGAACUAGGAAUCUCGCCAACAGCUCUCGUAGCCCAGGCACUUACCUUGUUGUAACGCUCAAACGCGAAUUCGGAAUAAGAUCUACUUUGCUCUCUUUUUGAUUUCUUAUACUUUAUCGUCGUUAUUCUCGUGUUCUGAUUGCUUGACGUGUGGUAUUAGCAGAUAUUCGGGACCUCCCUCUCAAUGAUCAUUCCACCUGUCAAGGUCCAAAGUAAAAGUCCCCGGACAACGAAGCGCCGAAUGCAUCCGCAGGACGAUCCACUUCCUCGCCACCAUCGGGAAACCCGGUCGCAACCUCCUCAGUAUCAAGGGAAACCGGGAUGGAAUCCCAGAACCCUUGGAUCCUCCCGUCGAUCGAGGGAAUGAGCACCUCAGCGUGAGCAUGUUUGUUCAUGCCGCUCUUCAUUAAACUCAUUUCCUUCUAGAAGACGUAGUCGUCGGCUCGCGUCCUCCAAAAACUUCCGACUGAACCACGUCACUCACGGAAAUCGCCCACCAAGGUAAAGGCGUCCUUGAGGUUCCUAUACUCGACUUUGAACUGAGAGGCACAAGUCUUCAUCACCUCGACGAUCUCCCUCUUGCUCUUCCUUUCCGCCUUGCGGAUAGCCCUCGCAUGUUCACGAGCAAGUUGCGCAUCUCGCUCCAACAUCUCGCCUUGCACGCGAGCGAGAUCUCGUUCUGCUUUCUCCACCUUAAAGCGAAAGACCAUGGCUUCCCUAUGGCACGCCUCAAUGGCUGAGCCAAGCAAGUUGAGGCCCUGCGAAACCGGUUAACACGUUACAAACGGAAAAAGAAACGCCUAGGCAAUCGCCAAAAUUUUCGAAAAAAAAAAAAAUCUAACCCCGUUGAUUAUGCAAGACGCUUCCGCGACGACUUUCGGCCGCCCUGAUUCACUUGUAGGCGGAGGAGCAUCAAAGUCGGGGGGAAGACCAGCGAAGAAAUCAUCAAAGUCCAAAAUAGGAACCUCGCUAGUACCGCUUCCGUCGUCGUAAGCAAGGUUUGGAUCCCAUCCCGGAAGCAUAGAAUCAUCCGUCGAAAACUCUAUGUCACCAAGAUCGAUAUCCUUCCCCUUCGAAGAGUUCCACCCCGUCGCAGAAGUGGGGGCAUCAUCAGGACUCUGAUCAUCGGGCUCGGAGUCGUUCCCCGUUUCCGCAGGACCGGGACACACAAACCUCAACGCCUUCCGAACUCGCUUCAGAGUAAAGGAAGUCCAGAAAAACAUACCAUUCCUAGGAAGAUCCCUCACUUCAAUGAUAUCCUCGGGGAACGGAGCAAGCGGGUUGAUGAAGGGACGGUCAUUCGGCAACCUCCGGAAUAGUGGGAUACAACUCUCUUCGAUAGACGCAGCGUCUAUAUGAACAAAGAAGAAAAACUUCUUCCACGAGUUGAAGUUGGAGAUGAACCUCUUAACCACCGACAUAAAGCUCCGAGGGACCAGCCUAUACUUGUCCGUAUCCUUGACGAGCUGUAGCCUCAAAAGUGCUUCAAAGUGAUCAACGGAAAGGGAAAGACCAUGCUCAUAGCUCAGGAUCAGGAUUCCAAUGAGAUGCUGAAUGGCAAGGGGAUUCACCUGGCUUAUCACCACCUCGAAACAGUCCAACACUCGGACGAUGAUUUCGGGAAUCGGGAACCACAAGCGACAACGCACUACGAACGCUUCGUAGCACGUAAAAUAACCCUCCGGGGGGCAAUUAGCGCGCUCCCCUCGACGAGGAACCCGGAAUUCCACCGUGCUUGGAAUGUGGUAGAACGACCACAUGAUCUCGAGGAACUCAUCGGUACUCCUGCUUGGAGCCCCUUCCUCGACUGCACGAUGGGUCAAGACCGGGAACGACUUCUCUUUGGGAGGAGUGAUCAAACCGUAAUGCGCAACCCACCAUGCCCUCAUUCUCGGCGGGAUCGACCGAGUGAGGUACAAACUCUAUCUUUGGAACAAGGAGCUCUUCAUGAGCACUUGCGGACGAAGACCCUUUCCUCGAAAUCUUUUUCUUACUCGACAUUUUAUACUCCUCUUUUUGGAAACUAGAAGAAAACGAUAGAGAGAAAGAAAUAAAUUUUUCUUAAGGGAAAUCUUUGAGAAAACAAGCAAGUGAAAAAAAUGUGAAGAAGUUACCUCCCAUCUUAUAGGCAUGAGGAAUUACUAUUUACUUACAGAUUUUCGGACACAAACUUCGCUCAAAUACACCAAUCUCGUCCGAACACGCCAUACCGUGCGUUAGAAUCUCACUGGAAAUCCACGAUUCUAACGGGCCGGGGGCCUAACUGUUGGGGUCGAAAACGGUCACGACGAAGUUAAAGUCCAUGUCUCCGCAAUAUAUAAGUAUGACUCUCCGCAACAUACCUUUACGAGAUAAAGUUUCAUCUCGAACUUCAUUUAGAUCAAACAUAAGCCAUCAAAAACAUACCCAAAACAAUUACGGAUAAGUUCGAGUUUGACAAUCGGAACACGGCCAAACCAAGCUCGGUCAUUGCGCAACUGCCGCACAUGCACGCUGUCCGGUCGCUACGUAGGGACCGAGCUCGAGCUAAAGCCCGGUCGAUACGUAACAACCAAGCUCGGUGAAGCUCGGUUGCUACGUAGCGACCGAGCUAGCGACCGAGCUCGAGCCAAAGCUCGGUUGCUACGUAGCGACCAAGCAUUCGUCCCGCUCGGUCGCUACGUAACGACCGAGCGUCCAUCCCGCUCGGUCGCUAUGUAGCGACCGAGCUCUUCCAAAACGUCGAUACGACACUUGUCCAUGCAUUCUCGUCUAUCCUUCGAUGCUAUCUCCCAAAGACCGUAGCGAACUCAGUUCAUGUUUUCCACCAAUCUAAAUCGUUGAUCAAACUUUGCGGUUAAAACCACGGAAAGUUCAUUCUUUAUCGAAAGAAGUCUCAGUAAACGCUUCCAAUCGGAAGACGGCCCAAAGGGAACUAAGACAUGACUCGAGGCCCAUCCUACGAUUUCUUAACCAAAAGCCCGUAAACCGUAGCACGGCUUACGCUUGGAACGCAAGGAAGGAUAAAUAUCAAGUUUCCGCGGAUAAAUACGAAAUUUUGAGGAUAAAUACGAAGAUCGGAAAAAAUAGAAUAUCUCCAUUUUAUGCUAUCACGGCUUAAGGGCAGAAGAGUAAAAGCGUAAACCGACCUUGGAGCGAGUAUAUAAGGAGUCCUAGGCGAGAGGCAUAAAAGGGAGAACUUUUCAGAGCAAACUUAGCACAUAGAGCAAUUUAGGCAUAUAUUCGUUUUUGUUAUUCGAGCUGCGACUCAAUUAGGUUAUUGCCGUCUUAGGGUUUUAGAACUAGGAAUCUCGCCAACAGCUCUCGUAGCCCAAGCACUUACCUUGUUGUAACGCUCAAACGCGAAUUCGGAAUAAGAUCUACUUUGCUCUCUUUUCGAUUUCUUAUAAUUUAUCGUCGUUAUUCUCGUGUUCUGAUUGCUUGACGUGUGGUAUUAGCAGAUAUCCGGGACCUCUGUGAAAUUAGGGUUUUCCUAGUUUCAUAAUUUUAACGGAAAUCGACAGUGCGAAUUUCGGUUCCCACACUCAUAACCGCAUCAGGUCUCCAAGGUGAACAGCCUCUGGUCGAUGGAACAAUGUAGGCAAGGGAAGUUGCCAAAAUGGAUCCGUAACUUCGGGAAAAGGAUUGGCUCUGAGGGCUGGGCUCGGGGGUCCCAGUUCCUAACCCGUCGACUGUUGGCGGGCUGCUUGAGCUGCUAACGUGGCGAGAGCGGACUGCCUCGUGCCGGCCAGGGGACAAACUGGGAACGACUCUUUCGGGAUCUUUCCCCGGGCGUCGAACAGCCAACUCAGAACUGGUACGGACAAGGGGAAUCCGACUGUUUAACUAAAACAAAGCAUUGCGAUGGUCCCUGCGGAUGCUAACACAAUGUGAUUUCUGCCAAGUGCUCUGAAUGUCAAAGUGAAGAAAUUCAACCAAGCGCGGGUAAACGGCGGGAGUAACUAUGACUCUCUUAAGGUAGCCAAAUGCCUCGUCAUCAAAUUAGUGACGCGCAUGAAUGGAUUAACGAGAUUCCCACUGUCCCUGUGUACUAUCCAGCGAAACCACAGCCAAGGGAACAGGCUUGGCAGAAUCAGCGGGGAAAGAAGACCUUGUUGAGCUUGACUCUAGUCCGACUUUGUGAAAUGACUUGAGAGGUGUAGAAUAAGUGGGAGCUCCAGCCCAAGUGAAAUAUCACUACUUUUAACGUUAUUUUACUUACUCCGUGAAUCAGAGGCGGGGUAAAAGCUCAACGAGAACAUAAAUCUCAUGUGGAACAAAAGGGUAAAAGCUCGUUUGAUUCUGAUUUUCAGUACGAAUAUGAACAGUGAAAGCGUGGCCUAUCGAUCCUUUAGACCUUUGGAAUGUGCCAGCCAAGCGUUCAUAGCGACGUUGCUUUUUGAUCUUUCGAUGUCGGCUCUUCGUAUCAUUGUGAAGCAGAAUUCACCAAGUGUUGGAUUGUUCACCCACCAAUAGGGAACGUGAGCUGGGUUUAGACCAUCGUGAGACAUGUUAGUUUUACCCUACUGAUGCCCGUGUCGCAAUAGUAAUUCAACCUAGUACGAGAGGAACCGCUGAUUCGCACAAUUGGUCAUCGCGCUUGGUUGAAAAGCCAGUGGCACGAAGCUACCGUGCGCUGGAUUAUGACUGAACGCCUCUAAGUCAGAAUCUGGGCUAGAAGCGACGCAUGCGCCCGCCGCCUGAUUGCCGACCCUCAAUAGGAGCUUCGGUUCCCAAAGGCACGUGUCGUUGGCAAAGUCCGUUUGGCGGAAGUGCCGUUCGGACCGCCUUGAAUUAUAAUUACCACCGAGCGGCAGGUAGAAUCCUUUGCAGAUGACUUAAAUACGCGACGGGGUAUUGUAAGUGGCAGAGUGGCCUUGCUGCCACGAUCCACUGCGAUUCUGCCCUUUGUCACUAAGAUUC
rnacentral:ncRNA from 1 species